rnacentral:lncRNA from 1 species
CCCCUCCGCUCCUAGCGCGCGGGAGUCGGGAUUGUGCUUGCACGACUUCCCCCGGCCCGCGGCCUGUGAGCCCAGGUCCUGGGGUGAACCGAGCGCUCGCUCGUUCGUCAGACCGUAGCGCUCCAGCGGCUGUCCUUACUGUGUAGUAGCCAAAGCUGAGGGUGAUGACUGUGAACCAGAACAGACUGCCUCGCUGAAAAGUCACUUGGAACUCUUCUGUGGCAUCUGAAGCAGAUGGACGAAGCCAAGAGGGCCGAGAGUAUCUCAGCACCUAGAAAUGGACAAGGCUGGUUAUUAGAACAAAGAUUUCGCAGGUGGUGAGUCUCAAAGGCGAAGCUGAAUGGAUCUCCCAUUAACCAGUCAUAAUGAAGUAAGAACAAGAAGAUGGGGAAGAGGAAGUGUAAAACCGUGGCUUAAAUUUGCCAAGGAUAAGCUGAGUGUACUUCAGCAGUCAUUUGCACAGAAUCCUUAUCCUAAUUUUACAACCAGGGAAAAACUGGCUGGACAGUCUCUUGUCCUGUGUUUGUAAUUGAUAACUGGUUUCAAAAUAAAAGCCAGACCACCACUUAGAGAGAGACACAGAAUGUUCACUGCCAGGGAACUGCAUGAUUCCUCUGCCAAAGGCCACCCAUUUACAAGAAUCCAGGAAAACCAGGUGGAAUCUCCCAAUGAUGACCCUGAGCAGAACUUCUUGUACCCAGGAAGUUCUACUGGGUGGAGCUGGCCACUCUUCCGUGGAGACACAGGGGACUCCCAAUUAACAUGAUGGCUCAAAUAACUGUAGCCUUAUGGAUUAAAAGGAAACUAAGCUGUGAUUUGGAGUAUCCAGGUGAUACAGAAAAUGGCCCUUGUCGAUGUAGAUCAGCAUUAUUUCCUUAUCCUUCUGCAUCUCCUCCUCAGUAUUCUGAAAGGGACAAGCCUGAGAUGGGGGAAAGCCAGCAUGCAAGGCCCUCCCCUUUGUGCUGUGUUCAUGGUGUGCACGGAGAGAGGCAGCAGCAGGAGGAACAGAAAGGUUAUUUUCUUUACUGACUCUUUCAAGGACAUCAGCAGAAUGGUUGGGAAUGUCAUCAUGAGCAGCCUCAGCCUCAGAAUUACCAGGAGAAGCUGGUCUUCCAGGAUCAGGUUCUAAUGUAUAUGAGUCACAGGAUUUAGGGAAGCAGGCACUUUCCCUUCAGUCCCAGCAGCAUGGUUGAUGUUCCCAAGUAAUGGAGAGUCCCUGUGCUCUC